AGGCUUAACACAUGCCAGUCGAACGGUAACAUAGCUAGCUUGCUAGCUGAUGACGAGUGGCGGACGGGUGAGUAACGCGUAGGAAUCUACCUAUUAGUGGGGGACAACCUGGUGAAAACCAGGCUAAUACCGCAUACGCCCUACGGGGGAAAGCAGGGGAUCUUCGGACCUUGCGCUAUUAGAUGAGCCUGCGUUAGAUUAGCUUGUUGGUGAGGUAAUGGCUCACCAAGGCGACGAUCUAUAGCUGGUCUGAGAGGAUGAUCAGCCACACUGGGACUGAGACACGGCCCAGACUCCUACGGGAGGCAGCAGUGGGGAAUAUUGCGCAAUGGGCGAAAGCCUGACGCAGCCAUACCGCGUGUGUGAAGAAGGGUUUAGGCUCGUAAAGCACUUUAAGUAGGGAGGAAGGCCUGUAAAUUAAUACUUUGCAGGAUUGACGUUACCUACAGAAUAAGCACCGGCUAACUCCGUGCCAGCAGCCGCGGUAAUACGGAGGGUGCAAGCGUUAAUCGGAAUUACUGGGCGUAAAGCGCGCGUAGGCGGUUUGUUAAGCGAGAUGUGAAAGCCCAGGGCUCAACCUUGGAACUGCAUUUCGAACUGGCAGGCUAGAGUACAAGAGAGGGUGGUAGAAUUUCCUGUGUAGCGGUGAAAUGCGUAGAUAUAGGAAGGAAUACCAGUGGCGAAGGCGGCCACCUGGCUUGAUACUGA
rnacentral:rRNA from 1 species